rnacentral:rRNA from 1 species
GUGGGGAAUCUUGCGCAAUGGGCGAAAGCCUGACGCAGCCAUGCCGCGUGAAUGAUGAAGGUCUUAGGAUUGUAAAAUUCUUUCACCGGGGACGAUAAUGACGGUACCCGGAGAAGAAGCUCCGGCUAACUUCGUGCCAGCAGCCGCGGUAAUACGAAGGGGGCUAGCGUUGCUCGGAAUUACUGGGCGUAAAGGGCGCGUAGGCGGACAGCUUAGUCAGAGGUGAAAGCCCAGGGCUCAACCUUGGAAUUGCCUUUGAUACUGGCUGUCUUGAGUUUGGGAGAGGUGAGUGGAACUCCGAGUGUAGAGGUGAAAUUCGUAGAUAUUCGGAGGAACACCAGUGGCGAAGGCGGCUCACUGGCUCGAUACUGACGCUGAGGUGCGAAAGCGUGGGGAGCAAACAGGAUUAGAAACCCGGGUAGUCC